UUAAAUUGAAGAGUUUGAUCAUGGCUCAGAUUGAACGCUGGCGGCAGGCCUAACACAUGCAAGUCGAACGGUAACAGGAAACAGCUUGCUGUUUCGCUGACGAGUGGCGGACGGGUGAGUAAUGUCUGGGAAACUGCCUGAUGGAGGGGGAUAACUACUGGAAACGGUAGCUAAUACCGCAUAACGUCGCAAGACCAAAGAGGGGGACCUUCGGGCCUCUUGCCAUCGGAUGUGCCCAGAUGGGAUUAGCUAGUAGGUGGGGUAACGGCUCACCUAGGCGACGAUCCCUAGCUGGUCUGAGAGGAUGACCAGCCACACUGGAACUGAGACACGGUCCAGACUCCUACGGGAGGCAGCAGUGGGGAAUAUUGCACAAUGGGCGCAAGCCUGAUGCAGCCAUGCCGCGUGUAUGAAGAAGGCCUUCGGGU
rnacentral:rRNA from 1 species